GAUGAACGCUGGCGGCGUGCCUAAUACAUGCAAGUCGAGCGAACGGACGAGAAGCUUGCUUCUCUGAUGUUAGCGGCGGACGGGUGAGUAACACGUGGAUAACCUACCUAUAAGACUGGGAUAACUUCGGGAAACCGGAGCUAAUACCGGAUGAUAUUUUGAACCGCAUGGUUCAAAAGUGAAAGACGGUCUUGCUGUCACUUAUAGAUGGAUCCGCGCUGCAUUAGCUAGUUGGUAAGGUAACGGCUUACCAAGGCAACGAUGCAUAGCCGACCUGAGAGAGUGAUCGGCCACACUGGAGCGGAGACACGGUCCAGACUCCUACGGGAGGCAGCAGUAGGGAAUCUUCCGCAGUGGGCGGAAGCCUGACGGAGCAACGCCGCGUGAGUGAUGAAGGUCUUCGGAUCGUAAAACUCUGUUAUUAGGUAAGAACAUAUGUGUAAGUAACUGUGCACAUCUUGACGGUACCUAAUCAGAAAGCCACGGCUAACUACGUG
rnacentral:rRNA from 1 species